GAAGUCGUCUUUAUCUUCCUCGCAGCCUCCUAGCUCCCUCCUCUCCCUCCCAUGGCGCUUGGACUUCUCCUUCUCGGCCAUCUCCAGCACUGCGCCCAGCCCAGCCGCGCCGAGUUUCGCCCUCGCCAUGGCCGGUGCCUUCUUUGCUCUCCUCUCCAGCCGCGCCGAGCUCGACCUCUGCUUCUCUUGCGUCGCGCGCCGAGCUCCAUCCAUGGCGGGAGCUCCCUCCCUGCUCGGAUUUCGCCAGGCCCACGCAGCUCCCUGGCGCCCCUCUCCUCGUAACUCCCUCCUCUCGCUCCAGCUCGCCGCGCACUCCUCUGCUCGGCGCCUUUCCUGCUCCCCAUGUCUGGUGCCCUGCUGCCCAGCGCCGCGCCCCUGCUCCUGUUCAUUCUAGCAGCCGAGUUUCUUCUUCCCCGGCACGUCGCUCUCUCUCCCUUGUCUUCUCUCCCCUGCGCGCUAGUCGCUCGUCUUCCUGCGAGCGCCCCUGCUCCCUCUGCCCUCUCCCUGACGCGCGCCCUCUCUGCUUCUCUCCACGCCGCUGUCAGGUCUCCGGCUCCCAUGUGCUCGCCCUGUGCACGAGUCGCCGCGCCCUGGGAGCUGCUCUUGCCGUCGUGGAGCUCUCAUGGCCAGCUCCCACCCUUUUGCCGCGCGCCCAUUUUUCCUCUUCUGCGCAGCUUCCCAGCUCCAGCUCGGCCUUGUCUUCUCUAUGCUGUGGUCGGCGUUUCCCAGCGAAUCUCAACGUCACCACUGUUGUGAAAAUGUUUGAUCCGACUUCGUCGUAGACCUCGCCGGUCGUGCACACUCCGGCCUCCUCCUGUCCAUGGCCGACCAGCCCGCCAUGGUGUCGCGUGUCCCUGCGCCCUACUUGUCCCUGGCCCUCGCGCUGGCUCACCUCAUCGUCGAAUUCCAUAACCAGCACCGUCGCUCAGCUUGCCCAAAUCCUGGCCAUGAUUCCCAUCACGCCCUGUGUCGGCAUGUUGGUCCGAUGCUGUCGUCCUUCUUCAUCCUCAUCUUCGCCUCGACCUCGCGUGGUGCUCGGCCGUGCACAGCUACUGGUCAUCGACGCCCCUACGAGUUGUCGGUCGUCGCUCAUGUUCACCUCCAUAUGAUGGAUGGCGUGGGUGGUAAUGUCCCGACGUGCUAUUCGUUUGGGGUCGAGGAUGUGCUUGAACCAUAGAAAUUCAAAGUGGAUGCUGGAUGUUCUUGAACCGUGGACACGUCGAAGAUCCAUAGCAUACUGCGGUGCUCCAUUCCGUAGGUCUCCAACUUGGUGCCAAGGAGAGAAAUUCAUAGGAACCGGGUAAUGAAGAAAGAUUCGUGCAAUGUUUGCCAAGUGUUCGAUGGAUUGCUCGACCUCGGAUUCAUUGUCAUCCGCGUGUAGUUGAAUCAUUUUAGUCAUGGUAAGCGUAGUGUUAUAGUUGCUGACACGAUUGGAAAGUAGAUGAUUAAAUAGUGUGAGAUUUUAAUUAGUUGGCGAGUUAUGCAAAGUAGCCCGGUCAGGUGGUUUAGAAAGUUAGUUAAUAUUCUUCUAAGUUCAUUCUAAAUUUAGAUGUCUAAUACUAAUAAAUCUAAUUUGUUAAUCUUCUAGUGUUGAAUGUUAGUUAAGGGGAGUAGAGCGUGUGUAUAUUUUAUUGUUUUGUGAUGUAUGAGCUACCUCCGAAUAGGCUGGAAAGGCGUAAAUAUUAUAAUUAGUCUUAUAUCGCUAGCUAGUAUUUGCUUAAUAUUUUGUUAUAAGUGUUUCAUCCUCUUCGGUGUAGAUUAUCUAUCUUAGGCUAUUUAUACACGUGCUCAUUCAUGUGCAUCUUGCAUAUCAUUUAGGUACGUUAAGUGAUCACGUAAUGCGAAAGACGAGUUGAGUCAACCCCUAGAUGAUGUUAAGCGUGGGCUUCUCCACAAGGUGAUGCUGAUGGAUGAACCUGAAGAUGGAUAAACUAAACAAGUGCCAAGGCAAAGGAUGGUCAUCAAGUGAUCGACGUCUAACAACCACUACACCAUGAAACAAUUUUAGCGUCAAACAUCUGACGAUAAAAAUAGAUGUUUGGCGACAGCGAGUAUGUCACAAAAUAAUACCAUCACACUAUCUGUCGGUAAUUAUUGUGUUGGCAUCAACAAAUCUGUCGGCAAUAAUGUCGAGCUAUUGUGGCGGUUUAUCCAUCGGUAUAAAUGAUUAUGUGUGGCACACUGACUGUCGGGAAAACAUAGCAUUAGAUCAUCUGUCGGUACAUGAAUGUCUUGAGUAAUUAAUAAAUUUCAACUAAUAUAUUUAUAUAAGUUUAUAUGUUGUCCCAAUUAAUUAAGCUUCUGUCCACGCCCCUAUGGCCCUGCCCACGCACGCUGCUAGGAUUCAAACCGAACACCACUUGCUCCGAAGCAACAACUCAAACCAGCUGAGCUAGAGGUCAUUUGUGUUAUAUAGUGGAGAAAUAUUCUUAAGAAGUAAGAUCUAUAGGAAUAAAUUAAUGAAUCAUUUUUCCCUGGCCGAAGCGCUCUCUCUUAUUCCUGUACGUGCGUCUUCUCCAAUAUGUGUUCUGCAUAUCCGCCGCUGCCAAAAACCUAGACCACUGAGUCGCCGUAAACCACCACGCUGCCGCCCCCGACGCCGUCUUACUUCGCCCUAUUCUUGCCCCUUGAGACUCGAACCUCCAGCUGCCUAUCUUGUGGUGCACAUACGUGUUCUUUCUCCUGUAGGAUCUUUGAUCUCUUGUUGCUCGGCUAAUCGAAACGAAAGCGCCACCAUCUCUGGGCUUCAACCACAGGCAACGACGGACGCCCUGCGCCGAUGCGUCCUCCUCCGGUCCCUCCCCCAUCAACCACCGCAGCACCGCCCAACGCAGUGCCCUGUGACCGUGCGGUGGUGUAGUUUGCUGCUGGUGCCCAAGACUAAAGAAAGUCUGUUGCUGCUGCUAGCAAGGACGAGGGCGGGCACCGGACCACCAGAAGGAGAAGUGUGUGAACAACGCUUGGACGACAUCCAUUGGAGGAAAGUUUGUAAGAGGAAGAGGAAUGGGUAAAGAAACGGAGGUCAAUGAAUAUGAACUACAAAGGGCUGCCAACAUAAGAGAAAAUGUGAAGAGGAUGAGAUCUCUUAAUCUCCAUGUACCUAGUACUAUGGUUAAUGAAGAAAAUGGAUCACAUCGAGCCAAUAAGAAACACAAGGCAAUGACAUUAGCACCUUCAACUAAUGGUCCUACUUUGUGAUCAAGGACUGAAAGAGAUAUUGUUGAUGAUAACCAUGAGGAUAUUACUUCUGAAAUUAGUUAUGAAGAAUUCGAAUAUCCCAUCAACGAUGAAGAGAAACCUGUUGGGCAUCAAAAUAUAAGAAAAGGAAGGGGCCCAACCUUGAAGAAGGACAUAUAUUCAAAUAGUGGUGGGCCUAAAAUCUGCAUUACCCUUAAUGAAUAUGGACAACUUGUUGGUCGGAACAGCAAAGAGUUUGGUAAUUUAUAGGAACUUUGGCGAGGAAAAAUAUCCCAGUUUCUUAUGAGGAUUGGAGACUAGUUGAUUCUAAAAAGAAGUUCGAGUUAUCGACAAAAGUGAAGGAAUACUAUGAGGUGGAUGAAUCUGGUAUAGAUUAUGUUAUAACAUCUGCAGCAAAAAAGUGGAGAGAGUUUAAGGCUAGCCUAAAGAACAAAUAUUUUGAUGAAACAUUGAGUUUUGAAGAACUUAUUGCUAAAAGGGAUGAAAGGGUGAAAGAAUCUGAUUGGGAGUGGUUGAUAACUUAUUGGAUGUCUCCAGAAGCAGAAGUACAUGCUAAUUUGUUUUGAAUCACUUUUUUGAGAUGUAAACCUUCAUUAAAUUGUUGUAUGAAUGAAUUUGUGUUAUAGUUUUGAAAGAUUGGUAUUUACGUUGUAGGUUCGUACAAACAAAGGUAAAGAUAACCGUUCAAAGCUGACCAUGUCGCAUGCAGCUGGCAGCAAGAGUUAUGCUCGUGUGGGGCAUGAAUUGGCCGAGCAAUAAGGACGCCCUGCAAGAAGAAAUGAAAUAUAUGUUAGAACACACACGCGUAACAACAAAGAAGGGGAUAUUGUACCUCUACCUGGAGCAGAAAUA